rnacentral:rRNA from 1 species
UGGGGAAUAUUGCACAAUGGGCGCAAGCCUGAUGCAGCCAUGCCGCGUGUGUGAAGAAGGCCUUCGGGUUGUAAAGCACUUUCAGCGAGGAGGAAGGUGGUGAGCUUAAUACGCUCAUCAAUUGACGUUACUCGCAGAAGAAGCACCGGCUAACUCCGUGCCAGCAGCCGCGGUAAUACGGAGGGUGCAAGCGUUAAUCGGAAUUACUGGGCGUAAAGCGCACGCAGGCGGUUUGUUAAGUCAGAUGUGAAAUCCCCGGGCUCAACCUGGGAACUGCAUUUGAAACUGGCAAGCUAGAGUCUCGUAGAGGGGGGUAGAAUUCCAGGUGUAGCGGUGAAAUGCGUAGAGAUCUGGAGGAAUACCGGUGGCGAAGGCGGCCCCCUGGACGAAGACUGACGCUCAGGUGCGAAAGCGUGGGGCAGCAAACAGGAUUAGAUACCCUGGUAGUCCACGCUGUAAAACGAUGUCGAUUUUGGAGGUUGUGCCCUUGAGGCGUGGCUUCCGGAGCUAACGCGUUAAAUCGACCGCCUGGGGAGUACGGCCGCAAGGUUAAAACUUAAAGGAAUUGAC